rnacentral:rRNA from 3 species
AUGAACGCUGGCGGCGUGCUUAACACAUGCAAGUCGAACGGUGAAAGAGAGCUUGCUCUCUGGAUCAGUGGCGAACGGGUGAGUAACACGUGAGCAAUCUGCCCCUGACUCUGGGAUAAGCGUUGGAAACGACGUCUAAUACCGGAUACGAGCUGCGAAGGCAUCUUCAGCAGCUGGAAAGAACUUCGGUCAGGGAUGAGCUCGCGGCCUAUCAGCUAGUUGGUGAGGUAAUGGCUCACCAAGGCGUCGACGGGUAGCCG